rnacentral:ncRNA from 1 species
AUAAACGCUUUGAUUAGGAGUAGUAAGGAUUUUCUGUUGUGUAGAGAGCUGCUGAUUUGGUGAAAGGCGGCCGAUAGAUUUCCCGAACUCGCCUAGGAGCGGUCAGAUUGAGAUGUAGAUCUGAACGGUUAACUCCCGUGAACGAGUCUUGAGAAGGUUUGUAUUUUUUAUAGCAAACUAAGAAGAGUGGUACCACGUUAGGAACAGCCUAUCGUCUCUUUC